CAAUAGCGUAUAUUUAAGUUGCUGCAGUUAAAAAGUUCGUAGUUGGAUUUCGGGUGGGAAUGGCCGGUCCGCCGUUUCGGUGUGCACUUGCUACGCCCACCUUGCUGCCGGGGACGUGCUCUUGAGUUCACGCUCGGGACACGGAGUCGGCGAGGUUACUCUGAGUAAAUUAGAGUGUUCAAAGCAGGCCUACGCUCUGAAUACAUUAGCAUGGAAUAACACGAUAGGACUCUGGCCUAUCUUGUUGGUCUGUAGGACCGGAGUAAUGAUUAAGAGGGACAGUCGGGGGCACUCGUAUUUCAUUGUCAGAGGUGAAAUUCUUGGAUUUAUGAAAGACGAACUACUGCGAAAGCAUUUGCCAAGGAUGUUUUCAUUAA
rnacentral:rRNA from 1 species